CUACGGAAUAACUCAGGGAAACUUGUGCUAAUACCGUAUACGCCCUUUUGGGGAAAGAUUUAUCGGAGAAUGAUGAGCCCAUGUUGGAUUAGCUAGUUGGUAGGGUAAAGGCCUACCAAGGCGACGAUCCAUAGCUGGUCUGAGAGGAUGAUCAGCCACACUGGGACUGAGACACGGCCCAGACUCCUACGGGAGGCAGCAGUGGGGAAUAUUGGACAAUGGGCGCAAGCCUGAUCCAGCCAUGCCGCGUGAGUGAUGAAGGCCCUAGGGUUGUAAAGCUCUUUCACCGGUGAAGAUAAUGACGGUAACCGGAGAAGAAGCCCCGGCUAACUUCGUGCCAGCAGCCGCGGUAAUACGAAGGGGGCUAGCGUUGUUCGGAUUUACUGGGCGUAAAGCGCACGUAGGCGGACUUUUAAGUCAGGGGUGAAAUCCCGGGGCUCAACCCCGGAACUGCCUUUGAUACUGGAAGUCUUGAGUAUGGAAGAAGUAAGUGGAAUUGCGAGUGUAGAGGUGAAAUUCGUAGAUAUUCG
rnacentral:rRNA from 1 species